rnacentral:rRNA from 1 species
GGAGGAAAGCAGGGGAUCGCAAGACCUCACGUUAUAGGAGCGGCCGAUGUCCGAUUAGCUAGUUGGUGGGGUAAAGGCCUACCAAGGCGACGAUCGGUAGCUGGUCUGAGAGGAUGAUCAGCCACACUGGGACUGAGACACGGCCCAGACUCCUACGGGAGGCAGCAGUGGGGAAUUUUGGACAAUGGGCGCAAGCCUGAUCCAGCCAUGCCGCGUGAGUGAAGAAGGCCUUCGGGUUGUAAAGCUCUUUCGGCCGGAACGAAAUCGUCCGGGCUAAUACCUCGGAUGGAUGACGGUACUGGAAGAAGAAGCACCGGCUAACUACGUGCCAGCAGCCGCGGUAAUACGUAGGGUGCAGGCGUUAAUCGGAAUUACUGGGCGUAAAGCGUGCGCAGGCGGCUUCCUAAGUCAGAUGUGAAAUCCCCGGGCUUAACCUGGGAACUGCGUUUGAAACUACAAAGCUAG